rnacentral:rRNA from 1 species
UACGUAGGGGGCGAGCGUUGUCCGGAUUUAUUGGGCGUAAAGAGCGUGUAGGCGGCCAGGUAGGUCUGCUGUGAAACUCGAGGCUCAACCUCGAGACGUCGGCGGAAACCAUCUGGCUAGAGUCCGGUAGGGGAGCGUGGAAUUCCUGGUGUAGCGGUGAAAUGCGCAGAUAUCAGGAGGAACACCGCGGCGAAGGCGGCGCUCUGGGCCGGAACUGACGCUGAGGAGCGAAAGCGUGGGUAGCAAACAGG